AUAAAGGGCUUUCGAAAGGUGUCUUAUCGAGAAAGAAUAUCAGCAGACAAUUAGAGAUGGUAAAUAUCUACACGAUGAGUAAGCCAGCCAGCAAAUAUCACAAGUGACCUGGUGCUGGCUUAUUGCUUUUCCUUAAGUUUGGUUUUAUUGGUAUGUAUCCAAUGACACUUGAGUAAAGUGUCCUCACCAAUCAUAUCAUCAUCAGUACAUUGAGCAUAAUGGAAAAAGCCACUGAAGAUGGUAAUCAAAUCUAAAGGUGACAGAGAUGCAAAUCUAUCAACACUUCCUCUCUCCUCCUCCUCAUCCUCCACAGAUGAUAUCAUUUAUAUAUUGAGCACAAUUCAGUGAUAUGGGUAAAUAAUAGCACACUCAGCUCUCAUUCACUGGAAUUUUGGAGCACAAGACCUCUGUGAAAGUCAAAACCAAUUAAAAAUACAUUUUAACCUGAGACAACACCUCUCUAGCUCUCUCUAUGUUCUCCAGCAUGACUCAAGUAUGAGUCUAGGUCAGAGAUUCUUAGAGAUACUAUUUUAAUCAAAUCUACAAAAGUCAAACUUGCAAAUGUGGAGGAUCAACUAUAUUUACAGUACCUUCUGUUAGAGUUUUUCAGUAUGUCAUUUCUUAAGUAACAAUAAGAAAGUGUAAGUAAGUUUAAGAAUCAAGUCCAACCACACUGUAAGCAUUAAGAAUCAAGCCACCUGGUUAGCCUUAUGUAAUUCACAGCCAGGGUGGACCAGCUGUAAAGGUACCAAAGUAGCAUAAUGCUUCUCUAUUGUUGAGGGUUGGUGUUGAAGGAGUUUAUGAAGAGUUGCUGUUGGAGAGAAAGUUGCAAAGAUACAGAAGAAUUGGAAAACAAGACCAGCGAGAGCCUUUUGCAAAUCAUGGAACAUAUUUUUCAUAUAUAUACGUAAUCUUCGAGAUGGGACUGACCUCUAUAUAUGGAAUCCAUGGUGCUCAACAGGAAUCCAUACCUCCUGCAUUCAGAUUCUCAUUAUCUCUUUUCAGCCUUGCUACUUUGUGUAUGAGAUUCGAAGCUGGAGAGAGACGGAGGAUCUAAGAAUAUAAGGGACUGAGAAUAUAAGGGAGCCAAUAUUUGGGGGAAACUGCACUACAGUACUGUACAGGAUAUAUCUGGGGAGCCUGUCAGCUCUUCCCCCUCCAUCUUGUGAACAAAUGAAUGGGAA
rnacentral:lncRNA from 1 species